AGACACCACCUCAAAAGAAGACGCCACAGACAGUCAGUCUGAUGAAAGUCCACUGGAGGAAAUGAAAGAAGACAAGCAGGAAGACAAACCUGAGUCUGACAGCUCCAGUCUGGACUCAAAUUCAGACUCGGACACUGACAGUAAAGAUAAAGAGCAGGACAAAGAGAAGAAGAGCACAGAGUCCACAGACACAGAAAGCUCUGAUAGCGACACAGACAGCUCAGAAACAGGAGGGGAAGAUACUGAUGAAGACAAUGACUCCAGCAUGGAAAAGGAGAAACAAGACGACCAUGACAAUCACUCGACAGAUGUUACAACAUCAAACGAGGAACACACUGAUGCAGACAGCCAUGAUGCUGCAGACGAUGAUGACGACACUGAUGCCCAUGAUGAUGAAGUCAGGGUUGGAGAUGGCAUAGACACUGCUUCUAAAAAACACGAUGAACCAGAUCAUCUUGAUGACACAACACAAGGAUCAGAUGACGGCAGCAAAACCCCUAUGCCAAGCUCCUAGCGACCAGGACUCUACAAAAACACUGUAACAGGUAUCACAUAAUCACCGAUUAAAAGCUUUACAUAGGCCUUACUUUAAGUUUAUAAAGACAACAUAUUUCAAAUUUCUAUUCUUACAGUUGUCUGUCUCUUACCCAGUCUCUGAUUACUUCAUCUGCUGUCUUAAAUGAUACUAUGGAAACUAAUCAUACUUAUAACUUUAUUUGAUUUUUCACAUUUUUAUAUUGCAGUCUCCUGAACAAUGAAUGUACAUUAAUUGUACAUUCAAGGCAAUUAUAGCAUAUCAGUGGUAUCAAAUUAAAUUCUAAGACAAACAAUAAUAAUAAAGGGUAAAUCAGCAUAUUCA
ensembl:lncRNA